rnacentral:pre_miRNA from 1 species
UUUCUACUCCCUCCGUUCGAAAAUACUUGUCAUCAAAAUGGAUAAAAAGAGAUGUAUCUAAAACUAAAAUACGUCUAGAUACAUUUCCUUUUAUCCAUUUUGAUGACAAGUAUUUCCGGACGAAGGGAGUAUUUG